ACUAUGGCAAUAAAAUUACCUUGUAAUAGGUGUAUUGGACCCGAGGGCAGUACUCGGCGCCUCCACCAUGUUUUUAAUUUAUAUGGGGGCGAAUAAGGAUCGACAUGCAUAGUAAAGAUGGUAACUUUGCUCGGUUAGACACCACCGUUAAGAGUUCGUAAUUUAAAUGCAAACGAUAAUUUUGCUGCU
rnacentral:tmRNA from 1 species